CUGAGUCCAGGGGCUUCAGGUGG
rnacentral:misc_RNA from 1 species